rnacentral:tRNA from 1 species
CCUGGUGGCUUAGAUGGUAAAGAAUCUGUCUGCAAUGCAGAAGACCUGGGUUUAAUCCCUGCGUUAGGA